rnacentral:rRNA from 1 species
CAACCCUGAUCCAGCAAUGCCGCGUGUGUGAAGAAGGCCUUCGGGUUGUAAAGCACUUUUGUCCGGAAAGAAAUCGCGCUGGUUAAUACCUGGCGUGGAUGACGGUACCGGAAGAAUAAGCACCGGCUAACUACGUGCCAGCAGCCGCGGUAAUACGUAGGGUGCGAGCGUUAAUCGGAAUUACUGGGCGUAAAGCGUGCGCAGGCGGUUUUGUAAGACAGGCGUGAAAUCCCCGGGCUUAACCUGGGAAUUGCGCUUGUGACUGCAAGGCUAGAGUGCGUCAGAGGGGGGUAGAAUUCCACGUGUAGCAGUGAAAUGCGUAGAGAUGUGGAGGAAUACCGAUGGCGAAGGCAGCCCCCUGGGACGUGACUGACGCUCAUGCACGAAAGCGUGGGGAGCAAACAGGAUUAGAUACCCUGGUAGUCCACGCCCUAAACGAUGUCAACUAGUUGUUGGGGAUUCAUUUUCUCAGUAACGUAGCUAACGCGUGAAGUUGACCGCCUGGGGAGUACGGUCGCAAGAUUAAAACUCA